GCGUGGCAGGCCGAGGCUAACGGGGAGAAGCCCCCCACUCCCCCCCUGCACCGCUUCCCCUCCUGGGAGUCAAGAAUAUACCAGGUGGCUCAGGAGGGCCUCUCGGGGUCUGGGGGUGCCGGGCCAGGGGAGGCGGGCAGCAGGGUGAGGACCUCCGGCCUUGGAAGCUACCCUGAGAUCCACGUCCCGGUGUACGCAGCCGUCAAAGGGCGCGCCAGUCAAAUCCGUUCAGUUCCAUUCACCGGGGACUCAUCAGACUCCUCAGAUGGUGAGGACCACUGUGGGGGCUCAGACUCCAGGGGGCUGUCCUCCCACACCCCUUCCUCCUCCGCCGAGUCCUCCUCCAGCUCACCCUCCAAGAGCAAAACCUCCUCGCUCUCCCCUGCCAAGCUCUCCGGGUCUUCCCCCUCCAAGAGCAU